CUCCCAGGGAUAAUAUUCUCAGUCAAGUCCCUCACAGCGCGCGUAUUUUACACAUACGCACCUCCACGUCCGAUCUCACGCGAUUCGGCACAUAAAAUAUAGGGUCUCUUCGCGAUUUAUCCGUUUUGCCAAUUUGACCCCUCAGCGGACUUUUCGCGAUUCCCGUAGAUCCGUCCGUCAGAUUUGCGAACGGAUCGCUCUAGUGCGAUCAGCACAACGGAGACAAUAAACCUACUAUUUUGAUUCACAUCGAUCUAUCACGGAUUCGCGACGGAACCCGUCCGCUCUCCAAUUUCCUAAAAACCACACACACAUAUACCAUUGUGUAAUCCCACUAAAUCCUAGAUUCAAAUUCAAAUUUGAAUCUCCUACCACUA
rnacentral:lncRNA from 1 species